GGAAGUGGGAGCUCAGUGGUUAAGACGUUGGGCUACUGAUCGGAAGGUCACAAGUUCAAUCCUUGAGCACCACCA